rnacentral:rRNA from 1 species
AAUUCUGUCUUUAUAAUAAAAAUUGAAUCUAACUUUUAAGUGAAAAGGCUUAAAUUUUUCAAAGGGACGAUAAGACCCUAAAAGCUUUAUAAGUUAUUAAAAUUUAAUGAAAUUAGUAUAAUAAUUAUUUAAUUUUAGUAUUUUAUUUUGUUGGGGCGACAUAGGUAUAAAUAAAAUAACUGCUUAUAUUUAAUACAUCUAUAAUUGAAGCGUUAAAUGAUCCUUAUUAAAGAUUAAAGAUUAAGUUACUUUAGGGAUAACAGCGUUAUUUUCUUUGAGAGUUCAUAUCGAAAAGAAAGUUUGCGACCUCGAUGUUGAAUUAAAUAUCUUCUUAAUGUAGCCGUUAAGAGAAGAAGGUCUGUUCGACCUUUAAAUUUUUAC